UACGUAGGAGACGAGCGUUGUCCGGAAUUACUGGGCGUAAAGCGCGUGUAGGCGGAUGAGCAAGUCUGCUGUGAAAGCUCCUGGCUUAACCGGGAGUGGUCGGUGGAAACUGCUCGUCUGGAGGACGGUAGAGGUAGGUAGAAUUCCCGGUGUAGCGGUGAAAUGCGUAGAUAUCGGUAGGAACACCCGUGGCGAAGGCGGUCUCCUGGGACGUUCUUGACGCUGAGGCGCGAAAGCUGGGGGAGCGAACGGG
rnacentral:rRNA from 1 species